GAUGAACGCUGGCGGCGUGCCUAAUACAUGCAAGUCGAGCGAACAGACGAGGAGCUUGCUCCUCUGACGUUAGCGGCGGACGGGUGAGUAACACGUGGAUAACCUACCUAUAAGACUGGGAUAACUUCGGGAAACCGGAGCUAAUACCGGAUAAUAUAUUGAACCGCAUGGUUCAAUAGUGAAAGACGGUUUUGCUGUCACUUAUAGAUGGAUCCGCGCCGCAUUAGCUAGUUGGUAAGGUAACGGCUUACCAAGGCAACGAUGCGUAGCCGACCUGAGGGGGUGAUCGGCCACACUGGAACUGAGACACGGUCCAGACUCCUACGGGAGGCAGCAGUAGGGAAUCGUCCGCAAUGGGCGAAAGCCUGACGGAGCAACGCCGCGUGAGUGAUGAAGGUCUUCGGAUCGUAAAACUCUGUUAUUAGGGAAGAACAAAUGUGUAAGUAACUAUGCACGUCUUGACGGUACCUAAUCAGAAAGCCACGGCUAACUACGUG
rnacentral:rRNA from 1 species